rnacentral:rRNA from 1 species
GACGAACGCUGGCGGCGUGCUUAACACAUGCAAGUCGAACGAUGAACCCGGAGCUUGCUCCGGUGGAUUAGUGGCGAACGGGUGAGUAACACGUGAGUAACCUGCCCUUGACUCUGGGAUAACUGCGGGAAACUGUAGCUAAUACCGGAUACGACCCUCGGCGGCAUCGCCAGGGGGUGGAAAGAAUUUCGGUCAAGGAUGGACUCGCGGCCUAUCAGCUAGUUGGUGAGGUAGCGGCUCACCAAGGCGACGACGGGUAGCCGGCCUGAGAGGGUGACCGGCCACACUGGGACUGAGACACGGCCCAGACUCCUACGGGAGGCAGCAGUGGGGAAUAUUGCACAAUGAGCGCAAGCCUGAUGCAGCAACGCCGCGUGAGGGAUGACGGCCUUCGGGUUGUAAACCUCUUUUAGUAGGGAAGAAGCGAAAGUGACGGUACCUGCAGAAAAAGCACCGGCUAACUACGUGCCAGCAGCCGCAGUAA